UACGUAGGGGGCGAGCGUUGUCCGGAUUUAUUGGGCGUAAAGAGCGUGUAGGCGGCCAGGUAGGUCUGCUGUGAAAACUCGAGGCUCAACCUCGAGACGUCGGCGGAAACCAUCUGGCUAGAGUCCGGAAGAGGAGAGUGGAAUUCCUGGUGUAGCGGUGAAAUGCGCAGAUAUCAGGAAGAACACCAAUGGCGAAGGCAGCUCUCUGGGACGGUACUGACGCUGAGACGCGAAGGCGUGGGGAGCGAACAGG
rnacentral:rRNA from 1 species